rnacentral:rRNA from 1 species
UAGGGAAUAUUCCACAAUGAGCGAAAGCUUGAUGGAGCGACACAGCGUGCACGAUGAAGGUCUUAUGGAUUGUAAAGUGCUGUUGCAAGGGAAGAAAAAGUAGUUGAGGAAAUGCUUCUACAUUGACGGUACCUUGUUAGAAAGCGAUGGCUAACUAUGUGCCAGCAGCCGCGGUAAUACAUAGGUCGCAAGCGUUAUCCGGAAUUAUUGGGCGUAAAGCGUUCGUAGGCUGUUUAUUAAGUCUGGAGUCAAAUCCCAGGGCUCAACCCUGGCUCGCUUUGGAUACUGGUAAACUAGAGUUGGAUAGAGGUAAGCGGAAUUCCAUGUGAAGCGGUGAAAUGCGUAGAUAUAUGGAAGAACACCAAAGGCGAAGGCAGCUUACUGGGUUUAUACUGACGCUGAGGAACGAAAGCGUGGGGAGCAAACAGGAUUAGAUACCCUGGUAGUCCACGCCGUAAACGAUGAUCAUUAGUCGGCAGAGAACUGUUGACGCAGCUAACGCAUUAAAUGAUCCGCCUGAGUAGUAUGCUCGCAAGAGUA